rnacentral:rRNA from 1 species
GACGAACGCUGGCGGCGUGCCUAAUACAUGCAAGUCGAGCGCAAAGAAAAGGAGCUUGCUCCUUUUCGGAGAGCGGCGGACGGGUGAGUAACACGCGGGCAACCUGCCUGUAAGAUGGGGAUAACUUCGGGAAACCGGAGCUAAUACCGAAUACGACUUCUGACCGCAUGGUGAGAAGUGGAAAGACGGCGUAAGCUGUCACUUACAGAUGGGCCCGCGGCGCAUUAGCUAGUUGGUGGGGUAAAGGCUCAACAAGGCGACGAUGCGUAGCCGACCUGAGAGGGUGAUCGGCCACACUGGGACUGAGAAACGGCCCAGACUCCUACGGGAGGCAGCAGUAGGGAAUCUUCCGCAAUGGACGAAAGUCUGACGGAGCAACGCCGCGUGAGCGAAGAAGGUUUUCGGAUCGUAAAGCUCUGUUGUGAGGGAAGGACAAGUAUCAUAGUAACUGAUGGUACCUUGACGGUACCUCACGAGAAAGCCGCGGCUAACUACGUGCCAGCCGCCGCAGUAAUAC